rnacentral:rRNA from 1 species
UACGGAGGGUGCGAGCGUUGUCCGGAAUCACUGGGCGUAAAGGGCGCGUAGGCGGCCGUGUAAGUCACUUGUGAAAUCCCGGGGCUCAACCCCGGGGCUGCAGGUGAGACUGCGUGGCUAGAGCACGGUAGAGGCGAGUGGAAUUCCCGGUGUAGCGGUGGAAUGCGUAGAUAUCGGGAAGAACACCGGUGGCGAAGGCGGCUCGCUGGGCCGUUGCUGACGCUGAGGCGCGAAAGCGUGGGGAGCAAACAGG